GGUUGGGUUGGGUACAAUAUAAUUGGGCCUGAGGGGAGGCGGGGCAAUUGGGCCCAUCUAGUAAUUUCAAUUUAGUCUGUGCCGUUUCGAACCCUGGGCAACUACAGCGGCGUUUGAAACUGAGAAAAUAAUGGGGUGGGAGAGCUUCGUGGUGGUGCACAACAUAGCAAAGAGGCACAACGUGGGAACACUUGCUCGCAGUGCCACCGCGUUCGGCGUAUCAGAACUCAUCCUCGUUGGUCGAAGAGAUUUCAACUGUUUCGGGAGCCAUGGGUCCUCCUCCCACCUCCGAUUUCGACACUUCCACUCCCUCCAAGACGCUCGCAAAUUCCUCAAAGACAAAGACUUUGAUAUUUGCGGCGUUGAGAUCACAACCGAUUCUCUCCCCGUAAAUCAACACCCUUUUACUAAGAGCACUGCAUUCCUACUCGGCAACGAGGGCACUGGUCUUUCUCCUAAGGAAAUUGAGAUAUGCGACUUUUUCGUCUAUAUCCCUCAAUAUGGCGGUGGCACUGCUUCCUUGAAUGUUACUGUAGCUGCUUCCAUUGUUCUCCAUCAUUUCGGAGUUUGGGCAGGUUUUACUGAGAGAUCUCGUGAUGGAAAUAAAUUUGUUGUGGCUGAGAGACCCGUAAAACAGGGUGGACGUAAUUACUGCACUGAAACAGAGGAUUCUAUCAUUGAAGAGCGGAAAGCUAGAAGAGAAAAUGCUGCCAAUGGUUUCUUUGAUGAGACUGAGAGUGGCAAUUCAUCUUCAAACCUCCUUGAUGCAUUAUUUGUUGAUGGUUGAUGGAAAAUGUGUGAUUACUUUACAGUAAUGAUUAAUUGAUCUUUGGGAUCGUAGGUUGAGGGCUUAAAUGCUUAAGUUGCAACAGAGGAUAACGAAUAACUUCUCUACUUAUUGGGGAUUGGAAGAAAACUGAUUACUGAUUAUUACAUGGGCUGGCUUUAUAUAUGUAUGUACCAUUUGAAAAAGAGCUAUUAGCCGGGGGAAGGUUGCUACUGAGAUUAGGUGUUUAUAUUGUAACUUAUCAGUGAGUUUGCUGCAAUUGCCACCCGUGACAGGGCAUGAAGUUGUUAAAGCCAAUAUUGUUCUUGUAACAUCAACACGGUACUGCCAUUUGCUUUACUGAUGAUGAUUAUCAAAGCAGCUUAAAUGAUAAAUUUGUCCUCCUGCUAGGUACAUACAUAGCAAGCAGUAGCAGCAUGCGCCAAUAUUUUCGAAGGCGCAAGUUGCUAUAAGCCAACAACAUCAUUACCA